rnacentral:rRNA from 1 species
GACGAGCUCUCCAAACGUUAUUCGGUAUCACUGGGCUUAAAGAGUUCGUAGGCGGCUUUGUAGGUGGGGUGUGAAAGCCCUCGGCUCAACCGAGGAAUUGCGCUCCAAACCGCAGGGCUUGAGGGGUAUAGGGGUAAGCGGAACAGAUGGUGGAGCGGUGAAAUGCAUUGAUAUCAUCUGGAACACCGGUGGCGAAAGCGGCUUACUGGAUACUUUCUGACGCUGAGGAACGAAAGCUAGGGGAGCGAACGGG